UGGGGAAUUUUGGACAAUGGGCGCAAGCCUGAUCCAGCCAUGCCGCGUGUCUGAAGAAGGCCUUCGGGUUGUAAAGGACUUUUGUCAGGGAAGAAAAGGAUAGGGUUAAUACCCCUGUCUGAUGACGGUACCUGAAGAAUAAGCACCGGCUAACUACGUGCCAGCAGCCGCGGUAAUACGUAGGGUGCGAGCGUUAAUCGGAAUUACUGGGCGUAAAGCGGGCACAGACGGUUACUUAAGCAGGAUGUGAAAUCCCCGGGCUCAACCUGGGAACUGCGUUCUGAACUGGGUGACUAGAGUGUGUCAGAGGGAGGUAGAAUUCCACGUGUAGCAGUGAAAUGCGUAGAGAUGUGGAGGAAUACCGAUGGCGAAGGCAGCCUCCUGGGAUAACACUGACGUUCAUGCCCGAAAGCGUGGGUAGCAAACAGGAUUAGAUACCCUGGUAGUCCACGCCCUAAACGAUGUCGAUUAGCUGUUGGGCAGCUUGACUGCUUAGUAGCGAAGCUAACGCGUGAAAUCGACCGCCUGGGGAGUACGGUCGCAAGAUUA
rnacentral:rRNA from 1 species